AGCAAACUUUGAAUAUUUCUUGCAUUCUUUAAGGAGUUUAAUGAGAGGGGAAACUGCUUUAGCAUCCACAAUUGGAAGAGAAUUCUUAGUACAGGAUGAGAGGUUGUGUAAAGCUGUCACAGCAUCAACUUUUCCUUGAACAGUGCCAGAGUUCAGAAUCUGAACCAGAAGAGGUGCAGCACCUGAAGCUGCAAUGGUUGGCUUGUUAGGGAUAACGUUAAAAUUGCAGCAGCGGCUAACUCCCUUAAACUACUAUUCUGGAACUUGAGCAACUCCACAAGUGGGGGAAUGGCACCAGCUGUCACUAUCUUGACCUUGUUUCGUUGAUUUCUAACGGCUAGAUUGAGGAGAGCGAGAAGAGAGGCUUGACGGGCGUCGAGGUUAGGAGAAAGAAGCAUGAAAACGAGGGGCUGAAUGAC
rnacentral:misc_RNA from 1 species